rnacentral:rRNA from 1 species
GGCGGCGUGCCUAAUACAUGCAAGUCGAACGAGUUCUCGUUGAUGAUCGGUGCUUGCACCGAGAUUCAACAUGGAACGAGUGGCGGACGGGUGAGUAACGCGUGGGUAACCUGCCCUUAAGUGGGGGAUAACAUUUGGAAACAGAUGCUAAUACCGCAUAGAUCCAAGAACCGCAUGGUUCUUGGCUGAAAGAUGGCGUAAGCUAUCGCUUUUGGAUGGACCCGCGGCGUAUUAGCUAGUUGGUGAGGUAAUGGCUCACCAAGGCGAUGAUACGUAGCCGAACUGAGAGGUUGAUCGGCCACAUUGGGACUGAGACACGGCCCAAACUCCUACGGGAGGCAGCAGUAGGGAAUCUUCCACAAUGGACGCAAGUCUGAUGGAGCAACGCCGCGUGAGUGAAGAAGGCUUUCGGGUCGUAAAACUCUGUUGUUGGAGAAGAAUGGUCGGCAGAGUAACUGUUGUCGGCGUGACGGUAUCCAACCAGAAAGCCACGGCUAACUACGUGGCAGCAGCCGCGGUAAUACGUAGGUGGCAAGCGUUAUCCGGAUUUAUUGGGCGUAAAGCGAGCGCAGGCGGUUUUUUAAGUCUGAUGUGAAAGCCCUCGGCUUAACCGAGGAAGCGCAUCGGAAACUGGGAAACUUGAGUGCAGAAGAGGACAGUGGAACUCCAUGUGUAGCGGUGAAAUGCGUAGAUAUAUGGAAGAACACCAGUGGCGAAGGCGGCUGUCUGGUCUGUAACUGACGCUGAGGCUCGAAAGCAUGGGUAGCGAACAGGAUUAGAUACCCUGGUAGUCCAUGCCGUAAACGAUGAAUGCUAGGUGUUGGAGGGUUUCCGCCCUUCAGUGCCGCAGCUAACGCAUUAAGCAUUCCGCCUGGGGAGUACGACCGCAAGGUUGAAACUCAAAGGAAUUGACGGGGGCCUGCACAAGCGGUGGAGCAUGUGGUUUAAUUCGAAGCAACGCGAAGAACCUUACCAGGUCUUGACAUCUUUUGAUCACCUGAGAGAUCAGGUUUCCCCUUCGGGGGCAAAAUGACAGGUGGUGCAUGGUUGUCGUCAGCUCGUGUCGUGAGAUGUUGGGUUAAGUCCCGCAACGAGCGCAACCCUUAUGACUAGUUGCCAGCAUUUAGUUGGGCACUCUAGUAAGACUGCCGGUGACAAACCGGAGGAAGGUGGGGAUGACGUCAAAUCAUCAUGCCCCUUAUGACCUGGGCUACACACGUGCUACAAUGGAUGGUACAACGAGUUGCGAGACCGCGAGGUCAAGCUAAUCUCUUAAAGCCAUUCUCAGUUCGGACUGUAGGCUGCAACUCGCCUACACGAAGUCGGAAUCGCUAGUAAUCGCGGAUCAGCACGCCGCGGUGAAUACGUUCCCGGGCCUUGUACACACCGCCCGUCACACCAUGAGAGUUUGUAACACCCGAAGCCGGUGGCGUAACCCUUUUAGGGAGCGAGCCGUCUAAGGUGGGACAAAUGAUUAGGGUG